GAUGAACGCUGGCGGCGUGCCUAACACAUGCAAGUCGAGCGGCAGCGAGGGGUGCUUGCACCCUGUCGGCGAGCGGCGGACGGCUGAGUAACGCGUGGGAACGUGCCCCAAAGUGAGGAAUAACUGCCCGAAAGGGUAGCUAAUACCGCAUAUUAUCUUCGGAUCAAAGGAUUUAUCCGCUUUGGGAGCGGCUCGCGUCGGAUUAGGUAGUUGGUGAGGUAAUGGCUCACCAAGCCGACGAUCCGUAGCUGGUCUGAGAGGAUGACCAGCCAGACUGGAACUGAGACACGGUCCAGACUCCUACGGGAGGCAGCAGUGAGGAAUCUUCCACAAUGGGCGAAAGCCUGAUGGAGCAACGCCGCGUGCAGGACGAAGGCCUUCGGGUUGUAAACUGCUUUUAUAAGUGAGGAAUAUGGCGGUAACUUAUGAAUAAGGAUCGGCUAACUACGUG
rnacentral:rRNA from 1 species